ensembl:snRNA LOC120099417 U6 spliceosomal RNA
GUGCUCACAUCAGCAGCACAUAUACUAACAAUGGAAUGAUACAGAGAAGAUUAGCAUGACCCCUUCACAAGGA